UGCCAUACCAUGCUGAAUAUACCGGUUCUCGUUAGAUCACCGAAGUCAAGCAUCAUUGGGCGCGGUCGGUACUUGGGUGGGUGACCACCUGGGAACAUCGCGUGCCGUU
rnacentral:rRNA from 1 species